CCAAAGAGUGGACGUUUCUGUGUCAAGCAAGAAACAUUCCUUGUUCUGAUGAUUUUUCCUGAACGACUACCUUGGGAGAGCCAGUGAAAAUCAGAGCUUGGAAUAUUGCUGGGUUACCCUCUGACACAUUUUCUACUGAUAACGACAUCAUUAUCUCAAAUGCAAGAAGAUGGCCUCUUAUGAUAGAUUCUCAGGGUCAAGCAAAUAAAUGGAUAAAGAAUAUGGAAAAAGUCAAUAGCUUACACGUGAUCAAGCUCAGCGACCCUCAGUUUGUUACAACACUGGAAAACUGCAUUCAGUUUGACAGUCCUGGGAAUAUCGGAGAAGAAUUGGAUCCUCUUCCAGAGCCACUAUUGCUCAAACAGACAUUUAAGCAGUCAGGAAGAGCAUGCAUUUGCCUCGGAUACUCCACUAUUGAGUAUGCUCCCAAAUUCCGCAUUUAUACUACAACUAUGCUGAGAAAUCCACGCUAUCUUCCUGAAAUAUCUGCCAAGGUAACGCUAUUGAAUUUCAUGAUAACUUCAGAAGGAAUGCAGGAUCAGCUUCUUGGAAUAGUGGUUGCAAGAGAAAGACCAGAUCUUGAAGGAGAAAAACAAGCCCUCAUCCUUCAAGGGGCUGCAAAUAAAAGGUUCUGGCUAACAAGAUUUCUGAAAAGCAAGCUGUAGCUGAAGAAACAGAAAAGAAGAUUGAUGCCACUCGUGUGGGCUAUCGUCCUAUUUCUGUCCAUUCAUCAAUUUUAUUUUUUUCUAUCACCGAUCUAGCCAACAUUGAGCCGAUGUAUCAGUACUCUCAUGUGGUUUAUUAGCCUUUUCACCAAGUCUAUAGAUAACUCAGAGAUAUCAGAAGAUUUACAAACAAGGUUGAAGAUUCUUAAGGAUCAUUUCAUUUACUCUUUUUACACCAAUGUCUGUUGGUCACUGUGUGACAGUGAACAUACGCUGGUCAAGCUGCUCUUCUCUUUUUGUCUAACUGCGAAUCUCCUGAAAUAUGACAAAAUGAUUAGCGAGGAUGAGUGGAAAUUCCUGUUGACCGGUGGCAUAGGCUUGGACAAGAUAGGAUGAAAUCUGUCAGCUGAAGACUUGCCGUGCUUCGCUAACAUUCAUCAGGAUUUUACGUGACUUAAAGACGGAUGGAAAACUGUGUACAACAGCUUGGAUGCUCAGCACAAGGAUUUUCCUGCAGAGUGGCAAGCAAAGUUGGGCGAAUUCUAAAGGAUGCUCAUCAUGCGCUGUAUGAGACCUGAC